UACGUAGGGUGCGAGCGUUAAUCGGAAUUACUGGGCGUAAGGCGUGCGUAGACGGUUAUUUAAGUCGGAUGUGAAAGCCCCGGGCUCAACCUGGGAAUUGCAUUCGAGACUGAAUAGCUAGGGUACGGUAGAGGGAAGCGGAAUUUCCGGUGUAGCGGUGAAAUGCGUAGAUAUCGGAAGGAACAUCAGUGGCGAAAGCGGCUUCCUGGACCAGUACCGACGUUCAGGCACGAAAGCGUGGGGAGCAAACAGG
rnacentral:rRNA from 1 species